UACGAAGGGGGCUAGCGUUGCUCGGAAUCACUGGGCGUAAAGGGUGCGUAGGCGGGUCUUUAAGUCAGGGGUGAAAUUUCGGAGCUUAACUCCGAAACUGCAUUUGAUACUGCGGUGCUUGAGCCAGCUAGGGGCGAGCGGAACAGACGGUGGAGCGGUGAAAUGCGUAGAUAUCGUCUGGAACGCCGAAGGUGAAAACAGCUCGCUGGGGCUGCGCUGACGCUGAGACACGAAAGCCAGGGGAGCGAACGGG
rnacentral:rRNA from 1 species